CUUCCCUUGGGCAGCCAGCCCUGAAAUGAGGUGAGGGAGGGGUGGAACCAGGCUGCCCCCUUUGUCAUCCAGGUGAAUUGCUUCCCUCUUUUUGCUCCUGAGCAGAACAAGAUUUGAUGAGGAGGAAAGCCUGUGAAGUCCAAAAGACUGCUUUCUACUUCCUUCCCGUUUGUGUUAGCUGGCUGUCACGGAGUGAUCUAGAUCAGUGUAUGCCUGUGGCGGGGCAGUGGGCCUGUUUUCCUGUGUUUGGCUUCCUUGCUUUGCCAUGAUGCUGUCUUGAGUUCAUGUGCUGGACUCUUGUAUUUCGUGUCUUUGUUUUGCUUUGCUCUGUUUUCCUUGUUGUUUGCCGUUCUUUUGUCAGUCUUGCUUUAUUGCUGCUCCUGUGUUGCAAUACCUUGUUUUGUUCAGAUGUGGUGAUUGAUACUUUUCCCUUUCCCAUUCUUGGAACUCUUUUCUCCCUCCUUCAGGGUGUUCCUCUUUGUUUCUCGGCUUUUCAGGUGAUUUGCUUUGCCUUCCUUGGCUUUUUGGAACUUGGGAAAAGGUACCGAGGUGCAUGGAUAUGGAGAAGAAAGCUCUCCUGCUGUGGCUGAGAGGUGAUCAAAGGAGGCCUCCCGAGCAAGCACCCAAAGGCAGCUUGCUUCUCCAGAGGCUGCAGCAUAAGCUCGUGUUCCUUGUGGAGGACUCCGUUGUGCAUCUGCAGGAGCUGCUUUGGCAUGGAGGAUUUUGUGGAGUUGCUGCCAGUCGUUGCUCGGAUGAAGUGAGGCUUUUGUCCUUGUAUCUGUGCAGGAAAGCAGUGCGGAGGGAACGUGUGUGGUGAGAUGCUGAGGAGAGAUUGCCUUCCUUGCCCCAGCAGGCUGCUUGUGUCCUGGUGAUGCACGGUGACGAGAAGGCUGCUGUUCUGAACAGCACAAGGCAACAGAGACGUUGACAGCAGCGAUGGUGAUGGAGAUGUUCAGAGUGGAGGAGCUUUGGCUCGCUGCAGCCACCCCAGCAUCCCCGGAGCUCCCUGCUGGCCCCGGAGGAGUCCGAGUGCUCUGUGCUGGAAGAAGAGGAGUCGAGGCUGCUGGAGACAUCAGGGCUCAGUGGCUCGUGGCAGUGAUGCGCUGCAUCAGCUCUUGCGUUUGGCAGCUGUUUGCAGUGGCUUUGGUCCCCUCUCUUGUGACACCGGGCAGGUCCUGCUUGUGCUGGGGGACCUCCAGAGCACUCUCCAGAGCCGCUUCUGAAAAAGCAAGAACAUCCCCCCGAACGAUGAUGGCAGCCUUCCCACAGCCACUCGGUGCAGGCAGCCACCUCUGGGGGUCACCUCUGCGGAGCACAGUCUCACCGUCAAUCCAGGUGAGCAAACGGUCCAUUUCCACAUCAUCGUUGUCAAGUCUGUGGGUGCUGGGUGUCUCUUCUGGAAAAGGCAGAAAAUGCCCAGCGGGGCAAUGGCAAUGCCGGCUUUCCCACGCCCACUCAGUGCAGACACCCCCCCAGCAGCUCUGCUGCCCCUCCGAGAGAGACUCACCGUUGUUGAUCCACGUGAGCAGGUCAUCGAUGUCUGCGUCGUCGUACAGGAUGCCUGUCUUGGAUGUCACUUCUGGAAAAGGCAGAAAAUGCCCAGUGGGGCAAUGCCAGCUUUCUUUCCCACACCCAGUGUGGGUGGUGGGUGGGUGGGUGCCAGCAACCCCCCGCCAGCUCUGCUGCCCCCAAACUCACCGUCGUUGAGCCAUGCCAGGAGAUGCUGGAUGUCCGCCACGUCCUCCGGGAUGUCUGCGCUCGCUGUGGCUGCUGGAAAAGCAAGGACAUCCCCAGUGGGGCAAUGCCAGCUUUCCCACAGCCACCCGGUGCGGACAGCCUGCCGCACGCCCCGCAGCCCCCAAACUCACCCCCUGAGUCCAGCGCUGCGGUGCUGCAGCCGAGCGGAGCCGUGGCGGGAUGGGGGCACCCGUCGGUGGGCGCUGGGUGCCCCUGGUCCUCCGUGAGCACCACGGCGUCCUGAAAGGGCUCCAUCGGCGACUCCCAGGUGGCGGGCAGGGUGCAGGGCACGGGGAGCACCUGCUCCUGCAGUGGUGGUACCUGCAAAAGAACUGGCGGGGGGCCGGGGCGGCCGGGGGCCUGCGGCAGGCAGGUGCCUGCGGGCUGCGGGGGCUCCCCGUGGAACACGGCCCCAGGCCACAGCCCCAUCGGCUGCUGGGGCAGCAGCGUCCCUGCCAGCAGGGGAUGUCCCCAGCAGUGAGCAGGGGCAGUGGGGGGAGCCAUAGCUGGGUGCAGCCCCCCAGGUAGCAGCUGCAGCAGCGGUAAGUGCAGCCCCAGAGUUGGGGGCAGGCCCCCAGGUGGCAGUUGAGCCCCAGUUGGGGGCAGCCCCCCAGGGGGGAGCUGCGCUGCCUGUCCCCAGACACCUGGUACCCCAGGCCAGACAGAGGCCUGAGGCGCCAGGUAGGUGGCAGUGGGGACAGGGAGGGCUUGGGGUGGUACCGGCAUCGGUCCGCGGAUGGUGGGCUGCAUCCAGGCGGGGUCCGGUGGCGGCACAGUCGCUUCAGGGAAAAUGGCGUCGGGUGUCAGAGGCACCGUCAGCGCUCCUCGAGGGAUUCUCUCUGUGGGGAAAGGCCAAAGUAGGCUCUGGGGUGGGCUCUGGGGUGAGCUCUGGGGCGCUGGGGUGGGAUCUGGGGCACAGGGCUGAGAUCGGGCUUACAGGGCUGGGAUCUGGGGCGCUGGGUGAGAUCUGGGACGUGGGGGUCGGGGGUAUCGGGGUUACAGGGGUGAUCGGGGUGGGGUGAGAUCUGGGGCACAGGGGUGGGAUCUGGAGCGCUGGGGCCAGCUGAAGCAUGGGAGCAGGGGAAGCCUGCUGCCUUACCUGCCAUGACAGCUGGAGAGUGGCAGUUAGGGGAGCCCCUCCCCCCAGGGGGGUUGCGUGACCGUUGGGGUCAGCCCCUUUCCCCCAGGCUUGAGAUGGUUGCAGUUUUUGUCGCCACAAAGACCUUCAAGACCCUCAAGUCUAAGCACAACCUAACCAUACCAGCCUAACUCUAACAAGCCCCUGCUCAAUCAUGUCCCCGAGCACCACCUGGUUUUCAACACAUUCAGGGAUGGUGACUGAACCAGCUCCCUGGGUGGAAUAGGGAGCCCAUCAGGUCUCCCCUCAGCCUCCUUUUCCCCACACUAAACAGCCCCAGUUCCUUCAGUCACUCCUCAGAGGGCAUAUUGGCCAAGGCCUUCCCCAGCCUUGUUGCCCUUCUUUCAACCUGCUUCAGCACCUCAACGGCCCUUCUGUGCUGAGGUGCCCAAAACUGAACACUGGACUCGAGGUGAGGCCUCGCCAGUGCCGAGUCCAGGGGCAGGAUGACUUCCCUAGUCCUGCUCACCACACCAUUCCUGAGCCAGGAAUGGUGUUAUGCCAUUGGCCUUCUUGGCCACCUGGGCACACUGCUGGCUCAUCUUCAGCCACCUGUCCGUCAGCACACCAAGGUCCCUUUCAGGGUCAGGCAGCUUUCCAGCCACUCCUCCCCAAGGAGGACUGGGGGGACGCCUGGGCUUGUUGUGACCAAAAUGCAGGACCCGACACUCGGCCCCAUUGAAACUCAUCCAGUUAAGCUGGCAGAGUGAAGAGAGAACAAAAACCAAGCAGGCAAAGAGCAGAGCUGUCCACAGGGGGCAGGGCUUGGGGCAGGGCCUGUGCCGGAGGGUGGUCCAGCACAGUGGUGGCCUCGGGGCCCAGGCUGGAGGGGGCCUGGCACAGUUGAGGCCUGGUGUGGGCCCAGAAGGAAGGGGGCCCAGGCACAGGUAGAGCCUCGGGGCCCAGGCUGGAGGAGAACCAGGCUCAGUUGGGGCUGUGUUGGGGGCCCAGGAUGGAGGAGGACCAGGUGCAGUUGGGGCUGCACUGGGGGGCCGAGCUGGAGAGGGCCUAGCACAGUUGAGGCCUCCUCUGGGCCCCGACCAAAAGGGCCCAGGCACAGCCAGGGCCUUGGGGCCCGGGAUGAAGCAGGACCAAGGCACAGUUGGGGCUGCUUUGGGGCCUGGGCUGGAGGGGGGCCUGGCACAGUUGAGGCCUGCUCUUGGCCCAGACCAAAGGGAGCCCCGGCACAGCCAGGCCUUGGGCCAGGAUGAAGCAGGACCAGGCACAGUUGGGGCUGCUUUGGGGCCCAGGAUGGAGGAGGGGGCAGUGGGCUGCUGGGGCCGGUGGAGGGCCAGGCACAGUUGGGGCUCUUUGGGGCCCAGGAUGGAGGAGGACCAGGCCAGUUGGGCUGCUUUGGGCCAGGAUGGAGGAGGACCAGGCACAGUUGGGGCUGCUUUGGGGCCCAGGAUGGAGGGCCAGGCACAGUUGGGCCUUGGGCCCAGACAAAGGGCCAGGACAGCUGGGCUUU
rnacentral:lncRNA from 7 species